UACAGGCUUAACACAUGCAAGUCGAGGGGCAGCAUGGUCUUAGCUUGCUAAGGCCGAUGGCGACCGGCGCACGGGUGAGUAACACGUAUCCAACCUGCCGUCUACUCUUGGACAGCCUUCUGAAAGGAAGAUUAAUACAAGAUGGCAUCAUGAGUCCGCAUGUUCACAUGAUUAAAGGUAUUCCGGUAGACGAUGGGGAUGCGUUCCAUUAGAUAGUAGGCGGGGUAACGGCCCACCUAGUCUUCGAUGGAUAGGGGUUCUGAGAGGAAGGUCCCCCACAUUGGAACUGAGACACGGUCCAAACUCCUACGGGAGGCAGCAGUGAGGAAUAUUGGUCAAUGGGCGAGAGCCUGAACCAGCCAAGUAGCGUGAAGGAUGACUGCCCUAUGGGUUGUAAACUUCUUUUAUAAAGGAAUAAAGUCGGGUAUGGAUACCCGUUUGCAUGUACUUUAUGAAUAAGGAUCGGCUAACUCCGUGCCAGCAGCCGCGGUAAUACGGAGGAUCCGAGCGUUAUCCGGAUUUAUUGGGUUUAAAGGGAGCGUAGAUGGAUGUUUAAGUCAGUUGUGAAAGUUUGCGGCUCAACCGUAAAAUUGCAGUUGAUACUGGAUAUCUUGAGUGCAGUUGAGGCAGGCGGAAUUCGUGGUGUAGCGGUGAAAUGCUUAGAUAUCACGAAGAACUCCGAUUGCGAAGGCAGCCUGCUAAGCUGCAACUGACAUUGAGGCUCGAAAGUGUGGGUAUCAAACAGGAUUAGAUACCCUGGUAGUCCACACGGUAAACGAUGAAUACUCGCUGUUUGCGAUAUACUGCAAGCGGCCAAGCGAAAGCGUUAAGUAUUCCACCUGGGGAGUACGCCGGCAACGGUGAAACUCAAAGGAAUUGACGGGGGCCCGCACAAGCGGAGGAACAUGUGGUUUAAUUCGAUGAUACGCGAGGAACCUUACCCGGGCUUAAAUUGCAGAUGAAUUACGGUGAAAGCCGUAAGCCGCAAGGCAUCUGUGAAGGUGCUGCAUGGUUGUCGUCAGCUCGUGCCGUGAGGUGUCGGCUUAAGUGCCAUAACGAGCGCAACCCUUGUUGUCAGUUACUAACAGGUCAUGCUGAGGACUCUGACAAGACUGCCAUCGUAAGAUGUGAGGAAGGUGGGGAUGACGUCAAAUCAGCACGGCCCUUACGUCCGGGGCUACACACGUGUUACAAUGGGGGGUACAGAGGGCCGCUACCACGCGAGUGGAUGCCAAUCCCCAAAACCUCUCUCAGUUCGGACUGGAGUCUGCAACCCGACUCCACGAAGCUGGAUUCGCUAGUAAUCGCGCAUCAGCCACGGCGCGGUGAAUACGUUCCCGGGCCUUGUACACACCGCCCGUCAAGCCAUGGGAGCCGGGGGUACCUGAAGUGCGUAACCGCGAGGAGCGCCCUAGGGUAAAACUGGUGACUGGGGCUAAGUCA
rnacentral:rRNA from 1 species